rnacentral:rRNA from 1 species
AGUGAACGCUGGCGGCAGGCCUAACACAUGCAAGUCGAGCGGCAGCACAGUAAGAGCUUGCUCUUACGGGUGGCGAGUGGAGGACGGGUGAGGCAUACAUCGGAAUCUACUUUUUCGUGGCGGAUAACGUAGGGAAACUUACGCUAAUAUCGCAUACGACCUACGGGUGACAGCCUGCGAUCUUCCGACCUUGCGCGAUUGAAUGAGCCGAUGUCGGAUUAGCUACUUGGCGGGGUAAAGGCCCACCAAGGCGACGAUCCGUAGCUGGUCUGAGAGGAUGAUCAGCCACACUGUAUCUGAGACACGGUCCAGACUCCUACGGGAGGCAGCAGUGGGAAAUAUUGGACAAUGGGCGCAAGCCUGAUCCAGCCAUACCGCGUGAGUGAAGAAGGACUUCGGGUUGUAAAGCCCUUUUGUUGGGAAAGAAAAGCAGCAGGUUAAGACCCCGCUGUUCUGACGGUACCCAAAGAAUAAGCACCGGCUAACUUCGUG